rnacentral:lncRNA from 1 species
GGGAGGCAGCAGAAACAGAAAUUUAAGAUUCAAUAUUUGGAAAAUGAGGAAAGAGCAGAAAAGAAGACCUUAUGAUUUUCUACAAUUUAAAGUCCAGCAUUGUUUGUUUGUUUUUUAGGUACAUUCUAGAAUCAUGCAGCUUAUCCCACAUUGGUGAUGCUUUUUUCAACCUCAGAACAUUAAAAAAGAAUCAAAUAAACACCUAAACCUGCUUUAAUCAAGGAAAGACAUUCAGGCAGCUGAUGAGAACAGAGGAAGGAGCAGAUGAUGGCACCAAAUCCUGCCCUGGAGCUGAGCAGGGCUCAAGGAGCAGCCCCGUGUGGAGGAGCAGAUGGUGCUCUGCAAACUAUCAGCUGCAUUUUGUGGAGCAUUUCUGGAGCUGAGGGACAACUGUCUGGGAAUUUCCAGGUCAGGUAACCUUGCUCACUCUUGUGGAAAGCCUGAGGAGCUCCAGGAGGGAUUUAAAGAAGAGAUCUUCCUCUCCUGUUCAGCUAAUUACGAGCUCCUCCCUUCCAAACUCCUGAUCUCGUCACACAGCCGAAGGCGUCGACGGCAGAGCAGAGCCCGGAUUUGGGAGCUGGCGGUGCCGCGCCGCUGUUCCCGCAGCAGCCGGGUGCUUCUCCCUGUGCCUCUGGAGCCUGCCAUUGUGCUGGGAAGUGGAGCAGGUAACCACUUCAUCAGGCCGAGAUUCCAUUCUCGUGGAGCACGGAGGUUCAUUAUACUCACUUUAUCAGCAGUGCGCUUUACUGCCGAAUCCAUGAGAGAUAUUCAUGUGAAACAUGAGCAGAGAGAGAGGCAUUGCAUCUUUUCAUUAAUAAGCCCUCUUCUGGGAUCCGGCAUUAGCGAGAUUCAGCGGAUCAUAGAGCACAGGGGUAUCAUUUUUACAUGA